UAUAUAUUAGUGUAUGAAGCACAUGGAAUUUUGAUUUCCAAAGGUUUAGUUUAAUUCUAAAAUAUAUAA
rnacentral:tRNA from 1 species